rnacentral:lncRNA from 1 species
CCAGGCUGGUCUUGAACUUUUGGGCUCAGGUGACCUUCCCAUUUUAGCUUCCCAAAGUGCUGGGAUUACAGGUGUGAGCCACUGCACCCAGCUGAUAUGCCUGUUUUCGUGUCCAGUUAAAUCACUCACUUAAUCAUUUAUUCAACAGAUAAUUAUUGAACACAUACUAAGAACCAGGCAUUGUGCCAGUACUGGGGAUACGAAGGUAAACAGAAACAGACAAGAUCCUGCCCUUGUGGAACUUAUACUCUAGCCAAAUAUGAACAGCUGAACACGUCAGCGUUACCAUGCAUAUGUUACACAGAUGCCAUCCUUCUUCCAUCAGCUCUCAUAUGCAAUACAGAAGUAAAAAGAGGUUCUCU